UUAAGUUAUUAAGGGCGCACGGUGGAUGCCUUGGCACUAGAAGCCGAUGAAGGACGUUACUAACGACGAUAUGCUUUGGGGAGCUGUAAGUAAGCUUUGAUCCAGAGAUUUCCGAAUGGGGAAACCCAGCAUGAGUUAUGUCAUGUUAUCGAUAUGUGAAUACAUAGCAUAUCAGAAGGCACACCCGGAGAACUGAAACAUCUUAGUACCCGGAGGAAGAGAAAGAAAAUUCGAUUCCCUUAGUAGCGGCGAGCGAAACGGGAAGAGCCCAAACCAACAAGCUUGCUUGUUGGGGUUGUAGGACACUCUAUACGGAGUUACAAAGGACGACAUUAGACGAAUCAUCUGGAAAGAUGAAUCAAAGAAGGUAAUAAUCCUGUAGUCGAAAAUGUUGUCUCUCUUGAGUGGAUCCUGAGUACGACGGAGCACGUGAAAUUCCGUCGGAAUCUGGGAGGACCAUCUCCUAAGGCUAAAUACUCUCUAGUGACCGAUAGUGAACCAGUACCGUGAGGGAAAGGUGAAAAGCACCCCGGAAGGGGAGUGAAAUAGAACCUGAAACCGUGUGCUUACAAGUAGUCAGAGCCCGUUAAUGGGUGAUGGCGUGCCUUUUGUAGAAUGAACCGGCGAGUUACGAUUUGAUGCAAGGUUAAGCAGUAAAUGUGGAGCCGUAGCGAAAGCGAGUCUGAAUAGGGCGUUUAGUAUUUGGUCGUAGACCCGAAACCAGGUGAUCUACCCUUGGUCAGGUUGAAGUUCAGGUAACACUGAAUGGAGGACCGAACCGACUUACGUUGAAAAGUGAGCGGAUGAACUGAGGGUAGCGGAGAAAUUCCAAUCGAACCUGGAGAUAGCUGGUUCUCUCCGAAAUAGCUUUAGGGCUAGCCUCAAGUGAUGAUUAUUGGAGGUAGAGCACUGUUUGGACGAGGGGCCCCUCUCGGGUUACCGAAUUCAGACAAACUCCGAAUGCCAAUUAAUUUAACUUGGGAGUCAGAACAUGGGUGAUAAGGUCCGUGUUCGAAAGGGAAACAGCCCAGACCACCAGCUAAGGUCCCAAAAUAUAUGUUAAGUGGAAAAGGAUGUGGCGUUGCCCAGACAACUAGGAUGUUGGCUUAGAAGCAGCCAUCAUUUAAAGAGUGCGUAAUAGCUCACUAGUCGAGUGACACUGCGCCGAAAAUGUACCGGGGCUAAACAUAUUACCGAAGCUGUGGAUUGUCCUUUGGACAAUGGUAGGAGAGCGUUCUAAGGGCGUUGAAGCAUGAUCGUAAGGACAUGUGGAGCGCUUAGAAGUGAGAAUGCCGGUGUGAGUAGCGAAAGACGGGUGAGAAUCCCGUCCACCGAUUGACUAAGGUUUCCAGAGGAAGGCUCGUCCGCUCUGGGUUAGUCGGGUCCUAAGCUGAGGCCGACAGGCGUAGGCGAUGGAUAACAGGUUGAUAUUCCUGUACCACCUAUAAUCGUUUUAAUCGAUGGGGGGACGCAGUAGGAUAGGCGAAGCGUGCGAUUGGAUUGCACGUCUAAGCAGUAAGGCUGAGUAUUAGGCAAAUCCGGUACUCGUUAAGGCUGAGCUGUGAUGGGGAGAAGACAUUGUGUCUUCGAGUCGUUGAUUUCACACUGCCGAGAAAAGCCUCUAGAUAGAAAAUAGGUGCCCGUACCGCAAACCGACACAGGUAGUCAAGAUGAGAAUUCUAAGGUGAGCGAGCGAACUCUCGUUAAGGAACUCGGCAAAAUGACCCCGUAACUUCGGGAGAAGGGGUGCUCUUUAGGGUUAACGCCCAGAAGAGCCGCAGUGAAUAGGCCCAAGCGACUGUUUAUCAAAAACACAGGUCUCUGCUAAACCGUAAGGUGAUGUAUAGGGGCUGACGCCUGCCCGGUGCUGGAAGGUUAAGAGGAGUGGUUAGCUUCUGCGAAGCUACGAAUCGAAGCCCCAGUAAACGGCGGCCGUAACUAUAACGGUCCUAAGGUAGCGAAAUUCCUUGUCGGGUAAGUUCCGACCCGCACGAAAGGCGUAACGAUUUGGGCACUGUCUCAACGAGAGACUCGGUGAAAUCAUAGUACCUGUGAAGAUGCAGGUUACCCGCGACAGGACGGAAAGACCCCGUGGAGCUUUACUGUAGCCUGAUAUUGAAAUUCGGCACAGCUUGUACAGGAUAGGUAGGAGCCUUUGAAACGUGAGCGCUAGCUUACGUGGAGGCGCUGGUGGGAUACUACCCUAGCUGUGUUGGCUUUCUAACCCGCACUACUUAUCGUGGUGGGAGACAGUGUCAGGCGGGCAGUUUGACUGGGGCGGUCGCCUCCUAAAAGG
rnacentral:rRNA from 1 species